CGUUCCCGGACCUUGUACACACCGCCCGUCAAGCGAUGGAAGUUGGGAGGACCUGAAGACAGUAGCUGUAAGGCGCUGUUUAGGGUUAAACCGAUGACUGGCGCUAAGUCGUAACAACGGUACC
rnacentral:rRNA from 1 species